rnacentral:ncRNA from 1 species
AUCUCUGGAGAGUCCCUAUAGAGGGCGCCGAAGGUGUUAGGCAGGGCCGCGCAAGGCGAGGAAAGCGCGUUCCGGGCUGAUCUCUCAGGCAAACGGACAGAGC